GACAGAGGAUGCAGGCGUUAUCCGGAAUGAUUGGGCGUAAAGCGUCUGUAGGUGGCUUUUCAAGUCCGCCGUCAAAUCCCAGGGCUCAACCCUGGACAGGCGGUGGAAACUACCAAGCUGGAGUACGGUAGGGGCAGAGGGAAUUUCCGGUGGAGCGGUGAAAUGCGUAGAUAUCGGAAGGAACACCAGUGGCGAAAGCGGCUUCCUGGUCCAGCACCGACGUUCAGGCACGAAAGCGUGGGGAGCAAACAGG
rnacentral:rRNA from 1 species